UAUGAUGGCUCUUAGGAUAAGUUUUAUUAAAAAAAAUAUAAAAAAAGAAGAAAGCAGAAGAGACACCUCUUACGUAAGGCCUGGAAGGCUUGUCUCUUAGUGGCCACGUGUAGGACAACGAGAGGUGGCGUUGUUUUUGGCUUUCUCGGUUUCUUCUUUCUCUCGGUCGAAACCUCUCGUCCUCGACGGCGACGUCUGUCUUCGGCAUCCAAUCCCUCCCGCAGAUCUGCCUCGUUGAUCCUUCGAUGGAGAAUCUACAAGACGAGGGAGGUAUGAUGGAGGAAGAAGACGUCGACGGAACCGCGGAGUCUCUGGUGGAGUUCGAAUCUUGACAAGAACCAAAGCUUGAAUCGAAUCUUGUUGGAGAAGCCAUGGAAGUUGAAACCGAUCCUACGAAGGGACAAGAGUCGAUGCAAAUUAGAGACGAAGUGGACAGUAGCAGCCGCCACAGUCCUCAUGCUAAUUCUGGCUUCUUCUUGUUCUGAUCGCACAUUUGAUUUGUCAAGUCGGUUCGAUUCUCUCUACGACGGAUGGAUCAAAUAGGUUUUGUGAGAUGGAUGGAUCAAAUAGGUUUUGAUUUGUUCUGUGGAAAGAGACACAAGGGAGGUUCAUCUGGUCUGAACUGAAAAGAGUAGAAUUGAGUUAGCUUCUGUGAUGAAUUGGUUUGUAUUCUUGUGUAGUGUCUUUUCUUGUGUCACGGACUUGUCACAGAGGAAGAAGCUUUGUAGUCUUGUGUACUCAUGUGUAUUCACGGUUUCGUCACAGACGAGGAAGCUUUGUAGUCUUGUAUGCUUGUGUAGUCUACUACUUGUGUUGUCUAGUUACUGGCAUUGUUGUUGGAUU